rnacentral:rRNA from 1 species
AACGAACGCUGGCGGCAGGCCUAACACAUGCAAGUCGAACGCCCUAGCAAUAGGGAGUGGCAGACGGGUGAGUAACACGUGGGAACCUUCCCUAUAGUACGGAAUAGCCCAGGGAAACUUGGAGUAAUACCGUAUACGCCCGUAAGGGGAAAGAUUUAUCGCUAUAGGAUGGGCCCGCGUAGGAUUAGCUAGUUGGUGAGGUAAUGGCUCACCAAGGCGACGAUCCUUAGCUGGUCUGAGAGGACGACCAGCCACACUGGGACUGAGACACGGCCCAGACUCCUACGGGAGGCAGCAGUGGGGAAUAUUGGACAAUGGGCGCAAGCCUGAUCCAGCCAUGCCGCGUGAGUGAUGAAGGCCUUAGGGUUGUAAAGCUCUUUUGCCGGGGAAGAUAAUGACGGUACCCGGAGAAUAAGUCCCGGCUAACUUCG